GUUACGGCGCUGCAGCUUCUGCACUAAAUGGACAAGCAACAAAAGGCAACGGUUAUGGCGCUGCAGCUGCUCCACAAAAUGGACAAGCAACCAAAGGCAAUGGUUACAGUGCUGCAGCUGCUCCACAAAAUGAACAAGCAACAAAAGGCAACGGUCAAGGAGCCUCAGCCGGCCCAUACAACGGCAAUGGGGCCAGACCCAAUGGACAGGGGGGAGGUGGAAGUACACCUAUAAAAGGAUACGGACGACCACAUUAC